AGUGAACGCUGGCGGUAGGCCUAACACAUGCAAGUCGAACGGCAGCACCGUAAGAGCUUGCGCUUACGUGCGGCGAGCGGCGGACGGGUGAGGAAGACAUCGGAAUCUACUUUUUCGUGGGGGAUAACGCAGGGAAACUUACGCUAAUACAGCAUACGACCUACGGGUGAAAGCAGGGGAUCUUCGGACCUUGCGCGAUGGUAUGAGCCGAUGACGGAUUCGAUAGUUGGCGGGGUAAAGGCCAAGCAAGGCGACGAUCGGUAGCUGGUACGAGAGCAUGAUCAGACACAUGGGAAGUGAGACACGGUCCAGACUCCUACGGGAGGCAGCAGCGCGGAAUAUUAGACGAUGGGGCAAAGCCUGAUCCAGCCCUACCGCGUGGGUGCAGAAGGACUUCGGGUUGUAAAGCCAUUUUGUUGGGAAAGAUAAGCAGCAGUUUAAUACCCCGCUGUUCUGACGGUACCGAAAGAAUAAGCUCCGGCUAACUUCGUG
rnacentral:rRNA from 1 species